rnacentral:rRNA from 1 species
GGAAUAUUGGUCAAUGGGCGAGAGCCUGAACCAGCCAUCCCGCGUGCAGGAUGAAGGUCUUACAGAUUGUAAACUGCUUUUGCUGGGGACGAAUAAGGGUCACGUGUGGCCCGAUGACAGUACUCAGUGAAUAAGCAUCGGCUAACUCCGUGCCAGCAGCCGCGGUAAUACGGAGGAUGCGAGCGUUAUCCGGAUUUAUUAGGUUUAAAGGGUGCGUAGGCGGGGCUUUAAGUCAGCGGUAAAAUCAUGCAGCUUAACUGCAUCAAGCCAUUGAUACUGGAGUUCUUGAGUACGGUUGAGGCUGGCGGAAUGUGUUGUGUAGCGGUGAAAUGCUUAGAUAUGACACAGAACACCGAUUGCGAAGGCAGCUAGCUAAGCCGGCACUGACGCUGAGGCACGAAAGCGUGGGGAUCAAACA